GCCAGCCUGGCAUAGUGGUUUGAGUGUUUGACUAGGACUCUGAAGAACAGGGUUCAAAUCCUGCUUGGCC